rnacentral:rRNA from 1 species
UCUCCGUUGGUGAACCAGCGGAGGGAUCAUUACAGAGAAUCUUCUCUUAAAACCCUGUGAACCUACCUUUGUUGCCUCGGGGGGCCGCCCGGGAGUGUCGCGUUCUGCGCGCUCGCCCGGGAGCCACGGCGCCCCGGUGGCCCAAAAAACUCUUGUUUUGUAUGGCCUAUCAGAAAUACUAUCUAAUAGUUAAAACUUUCAGCAACGGAUCUCUUGGUUCUGGCAUCGAUGAAGAACGCAGCGAAAUGCGAUAAGUAAUGUGAAUUGCAGAAUUCAGUGAAUCAUCGAAUCUUUGAACGCACAUUGCGCCCCCUGGUAUUCCGGGGGGCACGCCUGUCCGAGCGUCAUUUCAACCCUCCAGCUCCGCUGGGUGUUGGGGAUCUACGGAGACGUAGGCCCUGAAAAUCAGUGGCGGGCUCGCGCAUACCCGGACGUAGUAACACUGUCGUCUAGGGGCUGCCGCGGGUGCUGGCCGUGAAACACGACGCAAGUCAUUUUCGAAGGUUGACCUCGGAUCAGGCGGGAAUACCCGCUGAACUUAA